UCCUGGUUCGCUAGUUGGUAGAGUCUUUACUUGAAAUAGAAAGGUCCCUGGUUCGAUACCAGGACCAGGCG
rnacentral:tRNA from 1 species